UGGGGAAUAUUGCACAAUGGAGGGAACUCUGAUGCAGCGACGCCGCGUGAACGAAGAAGGCUUUCGAGUCGUAAAGUUCUUUUAUAUGGGAAGAUAAUGACGGUACCAUAAGAAAAAGCCCCGGCUAACUACGUGCCAGCAGCCGCGGUAAUACGUAGGGGGCUAGCGUUGUCCGGAAUCACUGGGCGUAAAGGGUUCGCAGGCGGAAAUGCAAGUCAGGUGUAAAAGGCAGUAGCUUAACUACUGUAAGCAUUUGAAACUGCAUAUCUUUAGAAGAGUAGAGGUAAGUGGAAUUUUUAGUGUAGCGGUGAAAUGCGUAGAUAUUAAAAAGAAUACCGGUGGCGAAGGCGACUUACUGGGCUCAUUCUGACGCUGAGGAACGAAAGCGUGGGUAGCAAACAGG
rnacentral:rRNA from 1 species